CUUCCAUAAACACUUCCUGUAAAGAGAGCCCUAUUUAGGCUUUCUUUAUUGCAAGUUCUGUUUAAUUAAGAUUUUCUUAUCCCCUGCUAUGUUAAUAGCUUGCUAGACCCUGCAAGAGCCUCCUGUAUGUGAUUAAAGUUCAAUUUAGAGAUUGAGAUACAAUUAUUUAAGGUAAAUUACAUCUGUUUGAAAGUGAAACCAGUUUUUUUUUGUUUUUUU